rnacentral:rRNA from 1 species
CCAUCAUUCAGUUGGGCACUCUAGCGAGACUGCCGUUGACAAAACGGAGGAAGGUGGGGACGACGUCAAAUCAUCAUGCCCCUUAUGUCCUGGGCUACACACGUAAUACAAUGGCGGUAAACAGAGGGAGGCAAGACCGUGAGGUGGAGCGAACCCCUAAAAGCCGUCCCAGUUCGGAUUGCAGUCUGCAACUCGACUUCGUGAAGCUGGAAUCGCUAGUAAUCGCGUAUCAGCAAUGACGCGGUGAAUACGUUCCCGGGCCUUGUACGUCGACGCGGCCG